rnacentral:rRNA from 1 species
ACCGCGAAACUGCGAAUGGCUCAUUAAAUCAGUUAUCGUUUAUUUGAUAGUACCUUACUACAUGGAUAACCGUGGUAAUUCUAGAGCUAAUACAUGCUAAAAAUCCCGACUUCGGAAGGGAUGUAUUUAUUAGAUUAAAAACCAAUGCCCUUCGGGGCUCUCUGGUGAUUCAUAAUAACUUCUCGAAUCGCACGGCCUUGCGCCGGCGAUGGUUCAUUCAAAUUUCUGCCCUAUCAACUUUCGACGGCUGGGUCUUGGCCAGCCGUGGUGACAACGGGUAACGGAGGGUUAGGGCUCGACCCCGGAGAAGGAGCCUGAGAAACGGCUACUACAUCCAAGGAAGGCAGCAGGCGCGCAAAUUACCCAAUCCCGACACGGGGAGGUAGUGACAAUAAAUACUGAUACAGGGCUCUUUCGGGUCUUGUAAUUGGAAUGAGUACAAUUUAAAUCCCUUAACGAGGAACAAUUGGAGGGCAAGUCUGGUGCCAGCAGCCGCGGUAAUUCCAGCUCCAAUAGCGUAUAUUAAAGUUGUUGAGGUUAAAAAGCUCGUAGUUGAACCUUGGGCCUAGCCGGCCGGUCCGCCUCACCGCGUGCACUGGCUCGGCUGGGCCUUUCCUUCUGGAGAACCUCAUGCCCUUCACUGGGUGUGACGGGGAACCAGGACUUUUACUCUGAACAAAUUAGAUCGCUUAAAGAAGGCCUAUGCUCGAAUACAUUAGCAUGGAAUAAUAGAAUAGGACGUGUGGUUCUAUUUUGUUGGUUUCUAGGACCGCCGUAAUGAUUAAUAGGGACAGUCGGGGGCAUCAGUAUUCAAUUGUCAGAGGUGAAAUUCUUGGAUUUAUUGAAGACUAACUACUGCGAAAGCAUUUGCCAAGGAUGUUUUCAUUA